UGGGAGCUGAAGAUAAGUUCUCUGUUGCUGGGUUUGGCAUUUCCUAAAUGAUUAUUUUUUAUUGUUGGAAUAUUCCAGGUAUGUAACUGAGCUACAGAGUCCCCCAGAGUCUCCAGACCAUACUUGGCUUUGAACAUCUGAUCCACAUCCAUGCAGAAGACAUAGUCAACCUCAUACUGUAUGUGAUCUGCAAUGUGUUCACUGAUGAUCUUCAUGCGCAUCAUGCUGAUGUCUUGCCACCUCCUCUCUUGUUUAAUCUUAAAAAUCUUUAGUGUCCGAUGGCGAUUCAGAUCUACCCAUGGCAUGUAGGAGAAGUCAUCCAACAUUAUAUAAAUGAUGACCUUCUGGUUGACCAUGAAAAACCUAUCAGCAGAUUCCAGAAAGCGACCCAAGUAGUACCAAAGAAAUCACCCUAACUACACCUGCGUAUUAUGGGCUACUCAUCAUCAACUACAUGCCGUAGGACCCCUGCAAACUACAGAAGAGCACCCCUACAUUGCACUGUGGAUCUGAACUCUCCUCAGCGUCCUCACUGUGCUGUAUUUCCCCGACACAACUCCCCUAAUCUCUUACCGACAGUCCUCAUUGAAUGCCAAAUACUGAGACUUUCCAACUUUGACUCCAAAGACUUCUGCAGCAAUAAAGGAAAUAGUUAAUUCCU